UACGGGGGGGCAAGCGUUGUUCGGAAUUACUGGGCGUAAAGGGCUCGUAGGCGGCCAACUAAGUCAGACGUGAAAUCCCCAGGCUCAACCUGGGAACUGCGUCUGAUACUGGAUGGCUUGAAUCCGGGAGAGGGAUGCAGAAUUCCAGGUGUAGCGGUGAAAUGCGUAGAUAUCUGGAGGAAUACCGGUGGCGAAGGCGGCAUCCUGGACCGGCAUUGACGCUGAGGAGCGAAAGCCAGGGGAGCAAGCGGG
rnacentral:rRNA from 1 species